rnacentral:rRNA from 1 species
AGAUUGAACGCUGGCGGCAGGCCUAACACAUGCAAGUCGAGCGGCAGCACGGGUACUUGUACCUGGUGGCGAGCGGCGGACGGGUGAGUAAUGCCUAGGAAUCUGCCUGAUAGUGGGGGAUAACGCUCGGAAACGGACGCUAAUACCGCAUACGCCCGUACGGGGGAAAGGGGGGAUCGCAAGACCUCUCACUAUGGAGCGGCCGAUAUCAGAUUAGCUAGUUGGUGAGGUAAAGGCUCACCAAGGCGACGAUCUGUAGCUGGUUUGAGAGGACGACCAGCCACACUGGGACUGAGACACGGCCCAGACCUCCGUACGGGAGGCAGCAGGUGGGGUAAUUUUGGAACAAGUACGGGGGAAACCCUGGUAACUCCGACGCCACUCCCGCGUGUGCGAUGAACGGUCCGUUCGGGUUAGUAACGUACUACGUUUAGGUACG